rnacentral:rRNA from 1 species
UGGGGAAUAUUGGACAAUGGGCGCAAGCCUGAUCCAGCCAUGCCGCGUGUGUGAAGAAGGCCUUUUGGUUGUAAAGCACUUUAAGCGAGGAGGAGGCUACUUGGAUUAAUACUCUAGGAUAGUGGACGUUACUCGCAGAAUAAGCACCGGCUAACUCUGUGCCAGCAGCCGCGGUAAUACAGAGGGUGCGAGCGUUAAUCGGAUUUACUGGGCGUAAAGCGUGCGUAGGCGGCUUUUUAAGUCGGAUGUGAAAUCCCUGAGCUUAACUUAGGAAUUGCAUUCGAUACUGGGAAGCUAGAGUAUGGGAGAGGAUGGUAGAAUUCCAGGUGUAGCGGUGAAAUGCGUAGAGAUCUGGAGGAAUACCGAUGGCGAAGGCAGCCAUCUGGCCUAAUACUGACGCUGAGGUAAGAAAGCAUGGGGAGCAAACAGG